rnacentral:lncRNA from 12 species
GGCCCCAGACACUCACAAGUUCUGCAUCUGAAGCCUGGGCCUCGCCCAUGUGGAGGCAGCACUCAAGUGGAGUGCUCUGAAGUGGAGGGUCACGCUGCAUUCCAGGAUGAGCUCAUCUGGAUUCUCACCAGGGCUGCGAGCAAUCUCGGUCUAGAGUGGGAAUCCUCCGACGAACCAGCUAAGAGCAAGCUGGAUUUGUGGUUCCUUCACUCAGACUGCCAAGCUGCCGCUCCGAGGAAGCGAGCACCAUUCCUCCCCGACUUGCACGAUAAGGUCGCUAAGGCAUGGCCUGCACCCCUAUCGGCUCGUACUCAUGCUGGAGGAUCAGAGAUCUUUACUGAAGUCGACGGGGCGGAAGCCCAACGAUAUACGCGCAUUCCGCCCCUCGAGGAAUCCAUCUCCGCGCACCUCUGCCCCUCCUUUGCCUUCCUGAAUACAGGUGCUACGCUGCCAGGUGACUGCCGUUUGACUUCACACAUCGCAGAUAAAGCGUACGCCGCCACCUCGGGAGAAGUGAUCUCAGCGCUGCACACGAUGGCAGUGCUCCAAGUUUUUCAGGCACAGCUCCUGAAAUCCCUGGAUAAGGGUGGGGCAGAUCCCGAGGCAUUUAAAGAUCUACGUGCGGGAACAGAUUUUGCACUUAAAGCCACAAAAAAGACGGCCCAGGUGAUCGGACCUAGCAUGGGCUACAUGGUGGUGCUCCAACGGCGUUUGUGGCUGACAGUUAUUGAACUUAAGGACGUGGAAAGGAUGGUGCUGCUCAACGCUCCUGUAGCCCCAUCCGGCCUCUUUGGAGACGCAGUAGAGACUAUUGCGGAGCACUUCUCAGUGGCACAGAAAUGCUUCAAGGCGACGAGUCCUUCCUUCCUGCAGCGCAGCCCCCUGGGCAUAGUAGAUCCUCAUCUGCUUCCAACCGGCCUUCGAAGCGCCCCCCUUCUGCUUCCGCUUCAUCAACGCCGGACCCAAAGCCGUCUGUUCAUGCCAAACCUCUGUGGCAGAGGACACUAA